rnacentral:tRNA from 1 species
GCGCCCAUAGCUCAGCUGGAUAGAGCGUCAGCCUCCGGAGCUGAAAGCCAGAGGUUCGACUCCUCUUGGGCGCA